GGGCACAUGGUGUAGUUGGUUAUCACGCUCGCUUAGCAUUUGACGUGGUUUGCGAGAGGUGUUGGGUUCAAUUCCCAAUGCGUCCA
rnacentral:tRNA from 1 species